rnacentral:lncRNA from 1 species
UAAAGUCAUUUAUGGCCGAAAGAAGUCUAGGCUGAGAUUCGGAGAAUAGUCGAUCACUAUAGAAAAUCAGCUGAAUAGUCGAUCACUGUAGAAAAUCAGCUGAUAGUGAAGCUCAGAGAGCGUUUGGAGCAGUCUGGUAGAUGAAUGGAGGAGCCCAUUAUUGGAGAAGUCCGAAUGAUAUUAUGGAAGCUCGGUCGGUCGGGAG